rnacentral:rRNA from 1 species
UCCGUAGGUGAACCUGCGGAAGGAUCAUUACUGAGUUGUCGACACGAGUUGUCGCUGGUCCUCAAACGAGGGCAUGUGCACGCUCUGUUCACACAUCCACUCACACCUGUGCACCCUCUGUAGUUCUAUGGUCUGGGAGGCGCACCGUCUUCCUCCUGUAGUUCUACGUCUCUACACACACACCGUAGCAAAGUCUUAUGGAAUGUUUGCCUGCGUUUAACGCAAUACAAUACAACUUUCAGCAACGGAUCUCUUGGCUCUCGCAUCGAUGAAGAACGCAGCGAAAUGCGAUAAGUAAUGUGAAUUGCAGAAUUCAGUGAAUCAUCGAAUCUUUGAACGCACCUUGCGCCCUUUGGCUAUUCCGAAGGGCAUGCCUGUUUGAGUAUCAUGAACAACUCAACUCUCACGGUUCGCCGCGAUGAGCUUGGACUUGGGGGUUUUGCUGGCAUGCAGCCGGCUCCUCUCAAAUGAAUCAGCUUACCAGUCUUUGGUGGCGUCACGGGUGUGAUAACUAUCUACGCUUGUGAGUCCGUCUGCCAGGUAACCUUCAGCGAUGGAGGUUUGCUGGAGCUUAUAAACGUCUCUCCUCAGCGAGGACAAAUUUUUGAACGUUCGAUCUCAAAUCAGGUAGGACUACCCGCUGAACUUAAGCAUAUCAAUAAGCGGAGGA